AGCAGCCGCGGUAAUUCCAGCUCCAAUAGCGUAUAUUAAAGUUGUUGCAGUUAAAAAGCUCGUAGUUGAAUUUCGGGAUCAAAGGAUCGGUCAUGCCUUGGUAUGUACUGGUUUUAUUGGUUCUCACCUUCUAAAGAACCAUAAUGUCAUUCAUUUGAUGUUAUGGGGAAUUAGGACUGUUACCUUGAAAAAUUAGAGUGUUUAAAGCAGGCUUACGCUUGAAUACAUUAGCAUGGAAUAAUGAAAUAGGACAUCAGAUUCUAUUUUGUUGGUUUCUAGGAUCGAUGUAAUGAUUAAUAGGGAUAGUUGGGGGCAUUAGUAUUCAAUUGUCAGAGGUGAAAUUCUUGGAUUUAUUGAAGACUAACUACUGCGAAAGCAUUUGCCAAGGAUGUUUUCAUUAAUCAAGAACGAAAGUUAGGGGAUCGAAGACGAUCAGAUACCGUCGUAGUCUUAACCAUAAACUAUAGCCGACUAGGGAUCGGAUGAUGUUAAUUUUAUAAUGACUCAUUCGG
rnacentral:rRNA from 1 species